rnacentral:rRNA from 1 species
AGAGUUUGAUCAUGGCUCAGAUUGAACGCUGGCGGCAGGCCUAACACAUGCAAGUCGAGCGGAUGAUGGGAGCUUGCUCCUGGAUUCAGCGGCGGACGGGUGAGUAAUGCCUAGGAAUCUGCCUGGUAGUGGGGGACAACGUUUCGAAAGGAACGCUAAUACCGCAUACGUCCUACGGGAGAAAGCAGGGGACCUUCGGGCCUUGCGCUAUCAGAUGAGCCUAGGUCGGAUUAGCUUGUUGGUGAGGUAAUGGCUCUCCAAGGCGACGCUCCGUAACUGGUCUGAGAGGAUGAUCAGUCCCUCGGGAUCCGAGACACAGUCCAGACUCCUACGGCAGGCUGC